AAAGAAAGACAUAGUGGUUAUGGGGCUGGCUUGAAACUAGUUAUAGGGGGUUCGAUUCCCUCCUUUCUUG
rnacentral:tRNA from 1 species